rnacentral:rRNA from 1 species
GUAGCAUAAUCACUUGCCCAUUAAUUGUGGGCUAGAAUGAAUGGAAAAACGAAGUAAUAGCUGUCUCUAGUAGUACCAUAAAAACUAAUCUUCCAGUGAAGAAGCUGAAAUAAAAUCACAGGACAAGAAGACCCUAUAGAGCUUUAUUUUUAAUACAUAUAUUAAAUGUAAAAAAAUUCAGUUGGGGCGACUAAGGAAAAAUCAUCCUAAAACAUAAAAGACUUACAAGUCAAUUAAAAGAUCCUAAAUAAUAGAUCAAAGAAAUAAGCUACCUUAGGGAUAACAGGCUAAUCCUCCUGGAAAGUCCAAAUUUAUAGGAGGGGUUGGCACCU